UUUAUGGAGAGUUUGAUCCUGGCUCAGGAUGAACGCUGGCGGCGUGCCUAAUACAUGCAAGUCGAGCGAACAGACGAGGAGCUUGCUCCUCUGACGUUAGCGGCGGACGGGUGAGUAACACGUGGAUAACCUACCUAUAAGACUGGGAUAACUUCGGGAAACCGGAGCUAAUACCGGAUAACAUGUUGAACCGCAUGGUUCAACAGUGAAAGACGGUCUUGCUGUCACUUAUAGAUGGAUCCGCGCCGCAUUAGCUAGUUGGUAAGGUAACGGCUUACCAAGGCAACGAUGCCGUAGCCGACCUGAGAGGGUGAUCGGCCACACUGGAACUGAGACACGGUCCAGACUCCUACGGGAGGCAGCAGUAGGGAAUCUUCCGCAAUGGGCGAAAGCCUGACGGAGCAACGCCGCGUGAGUGAAGAAGGUCUUCGGAUCGUAAAACUCUGUUAUUAGGGAAGAACAAAUGUGUAAGUAACUAUGCACGUCUUGACGGUACCUAAUCAGAAAGCCACGGCUAACUACGUGCCAGCAGCCGCGGUAAUACGUAGGUGGCAAGCGUUAUCCGGAAUUAUUGGGCGUAAAGCGCGCGUAGGCGGUUUUUUAAGUCUGAUGUGAAAGCCCACGGCUCAACCGUGGAGGGUCAUUGGAAACUGGAAAACUUGAGUGCAGAAGAGGAAAGUGGAAUUCCAUGUGUAGCGGUGAAAUGCGCAGAGAUAUGGAGGAACACCAGUGGCGAAGGCGACUUUCUGGUCUGUAACUGACGCUGAUGUGCGAAAGCGUGGGGAUCAAAAGGAUUAG
rnacentral:rRNA from 1 species